AACGAACGCUGGCGGCGUGCCUAAGACAUGCAAGUCGAGUGGGUUUAGACCCACGGCGAACGGGUGAGUAAUACCUAGGAACUUUCUUUAAGUGGAGGAUAACCAGCCGAAAGGUUGGAUAAUACUUCAUGUGGCAGUAAUGCUAAAGUCGCAAGACGCUUAAAGUGAGGCCUGGGCACCAUCAGCUAGUUGGUAAGGUAAUGGCUUACCAAGGCUAUGACGGUUAGGGGUCCCGAGAGAGAUAACCCCCACACUGGAACUGCGACACGGUCCAGACUCCUACGGGAGGCAGCAGUUUGGAAUUUUGGACAAUGGGCGAAAGCCUAAUCCAGCGACGCCGCGUGGACGAUGAAGGCCUUCGGGUCGUAAGGUCCUUUUGCUCGGGAACAAUAUUUUGAGCGUACCGAGAGAAUAAAGAGGUUGCUAACUCUGUGCCAGCAGCCGCGGUAAU
rnacentral:rRNA from 1 species